rnacentral:rRNA from 1 species
UACGAAGGGGGCUAGCGUUGUUCGGAAUUACUGGGCGUAAAGCGCGCGCAGGCGGUCUUCCAAGUCAGUGGUGAAAGCCCGGAGCUCAACUCCGGAACUGCCAUUGAAACUGUGAGACUGGAGUACGAGAGAGGUGAGUGGAAUUCCCAGUGUAGAGGUGAAAUUCGUAGAUAUUGGGAAGAACACCGGUGGCGAAGGCGGCUACACUGGCUCGUAACUGACGCUCAGGCGCGACAGCGUGGGGAUCAAACAGG